GGAUUGAACGCUGGCGGCAUGCCUUACACAUGCAAGUCGAACGGCAGCACGGGAGCAAUCCUGGUGGCGAGUGGCGAACGGGUGAGUAAUAUGUCGGAACGUGCCCAGUCGUGGGGGGAUAACGCAGUGAAAGCUGUGCUAAUACCGCAUACGAUCUAUGGAUGAAAGCGGGGGACUCGCAAGAGCCUCGCGCGAUUGGAGCGGCCGAUAUCAGAUUAGCUAGUUGGUGGGGUAAAAGCCACCAAGGCGACGAUCUGUAGCUGGUCUGAGAGGACGACCAGCCACACUGGAACUGAGACACGGUCCAGACUCCUACGGGAGGCAGCAGUGGGGAAUUUUGGGACAAUGGGCGCAAGCCUGAUCCAGCAAUGCCGCGUGCAGGAUGAAGCCUCGGUUGUAACUGCUUUGUACGGUAACGAAAGGUACCGUUUACUAAUAACAAGGACCGAGUGACGUACGUAAGAAUAAGACACGCUAACUACGUACGACCG
rnacentral:rRNA from 1 species